rnacentral:rRNA from 1 species
UUAGGUAUCUGGUUGAUUCUGCCAGUAGUCAUAUGCUUGUCUCAAAGAUUAAGCCAUGCAUGUCUAAGUAUAAGCAAUUUAUACGGUGAAACUGCGAAUGGCUCAUUAAAUCAGUUAUCGUUUAUUUGAUAGUACCUUACUACAUGGAUACCUGUGGUAAUUCUAGAGCUAAUACGUGCAACAAACCCCGACUUCGGAAGGGAUGCAUUUAUUAGAUAAAAAACCAAUGCCCUUCGGGGCUCCUUGGUGAAUCAUAAUAACUUAACGAAUCGCAUGGCCUUGCGCCGGCGAUGGUUCAUUCAAAUUUCUGCCCUAUCAACUUUCGAUGGUAGGAUAGUGGCCUACCAUGGUGGCAACGGGUAACGGAGAAUUAGGGUUCGAUUCCGGAGAGGGAGCCUGAGAAACGGCUACCACAUCCAAGGAAGGCAGCAGGCGCGCAAAUUACCCAAUCCUGACCCGGGGAGGUAGUGACAAUAAAUAUCAAUACCGGGCUCUUCGAGUCUGGU